CAAGAAGAGCAAAGGCAAUCGGAGGAGAGAAUCGAUUUAUACCAAAGUGGAAAUCAAACAAGGAUUUGAUAUUUGUUUGAAUCCAUUAAGAAAGGAGCCAAGAAGGAGACAAGGGGAAGGGAGUACGGAAGA